rnacentral:rRNA from 1 species
GUGUGUAACAACUCACCUGCCGAAGCAACUAGCCCUUAAAAUGGAUGGCGCUUAAGUCGUCUGCCUAUACAUCGCCGCUACGGCAUACGCGACUGGCCAUUUAUGACCAGUUGCAUUAGGCCGUAGUGAGUAGGAGGGUACAAUGAUGUGCGUCGAAGCUUUGGACGUGAGUCCGAGUGGAGCCGUCAUUGGCACAGAUCUUGGUGGUAGUAGCAAAU